UACGUAGGGGGCAAGCGUUGUCCGGAAUCAUUGGGCGUAAAGCGCGUGUAGGCGGUUCGAUAAGUCUGCUGUGAAAGUCCAGGGCUCAACCCUGGGAUGCCGGUGGAUACUGUCGGGCUAGAGUGCGGAAGAGGCGAGUGGAAUUCCCGGUGUAGCGGUGAAAUGCGUAGAUAUCAAGAGGAACACCUGCGGCGAAGGCGGGUUGCUGGGCCGACACUGACGCUGAUGCGCGAAAGCCAGGGGAGCGAACGGG
rnacentral:rRNA from 1 species